rnacentral:lncRNA from 1 species
AUCCAUGUCCUACAUAAUACGGAGACUGCAGCCCUUCGUAAUGAGCCGUGAAAACUCAUUUCAAGUCACACCAGCACUUAUUAGAGACGGCGGCGAUAGAGCAGCUCACGUGAUGAUGCAAACGGAGCCGCUUCACCUGCGUCUGCGAUUCCCCCUCGUCUCCACGUAACACGUGACCCGCCGCGAUGGGGAUGCGGGUUUUUUACCGGUUUUGCGCAAAGAUAUGAUUCGGAGUCGAACGCCGCACAAAGGAUUACGGCUGGAGAUUUACUGGAGCGGCCUGCGUGCGUGAUGGGGAGCCGGAGGAGAGACGGAAAAGCUCUGGAGCACGAUGUAUAACAUAAUACAAGUUCCUGGAUUAAGGAGGUCCGGCGUUUCCUAUAAGAAGCCUAAAGCUGCGCUGUUUACAGCUUGCAGGACUCCCACCUGCUGCGAGAGCGUCACCGCACGUUUCCAACAGCUCGACAGGCGAGCACCGGGCGCUGUUGAUAAUGCCGCGGCUGCAGACAUUUGAAUUUAAAGAGAGAUACGUAUUCAGAUUGGGGCGAUAAAGGCCCGCGUGCACGGCACAACAUGUUCUGGACAGUGUGUCACACCAAGGCAAACAAAGCUUCUGCUGGGAGCGGUGUGGGAGUAGUGGGAGGCUCCACGCAGCUGGCUGACACUGACCCCUGGGAUUCAAACCGCACUCUUAUCAAGGCCAAGUUGCAUUUUUCGUAGGUAGGUCUUGUUUUUUUUUUUUUUUUUUUUAACUGCACUGACUGUGGACAGGCUGAGUGAUGGGACGUGGAGCUCGUCCAUGUCGGCGCAGCACAACAUUAAACUCCUGGUUGCUCAGCGCGGGGAAACAGCUCCUGGCUCCGCAGACACUUGAAAAGGCCAAAGGGAGAGCUGAGCGGAGCACACGCAAACAUGAAAUUAUCUCAUCAGAAUGCAGGUUUGGAAUGAGCUGGGAGGACGGGGUCGCAGUAAAACACAUCCGCGAAGCUCUUGGAUGAUGCUGAAGCUCAAAUAAAGACGCUGCAGCAGGUUUGGAUUUCA